AAGAGCUUCAGAAAAUGAAAAUGCUCCAGCUGGAAGAAAAUUUGACAUUAAGUCACAACAGGAAGUUAGGUGACUCUGGCUUUGCCUCUCCACUCAGAGCUUUUGGGCAUGUACAUUCAUUUGUGCCUCUUAAAUGCCUACUUUGGGCAUGGCCUCAUGUAACACUCGCGUAUGCCAAUCAAAUGAACUCCUCAGUCAAAGUGCAAAGACUCUGUUAAUAUAUAAACUUCCAUAUGCAAAGAAAGGAAAGAGGCUUUAUUUUCACAGCUAUAAAACUGUGUGAAUAAACCACCAUUCAUUUACUCAUUCUGCUGGGGGGAGACCAUACUUGGGUAGUUUCUAUUUUUUUUUUCUAUUCCAAACAAUGUUGCAACGAAUAAUCUUGUACACAUGCAAGAAUUUCACUAAUACAGCUGUUCUAGAAGUAUGAACCAGAGGCCCAGGGUCCCUGGAUCCCUUUCAGGUCGUCCAUGAAGUUUCACCAUUUUCUCUCUCCUUCUGUCAAGUAUAUGCUGUGGUGUUUUCCAGAGGCUGACUGACACACCCACAAUGAUCUGAAAAAAGGUAUUAAAAUACUCCUACCUCUUCUAAUUAUAUGUGUGUUAAACUGGAUUUUCCUUACCUACUUCAACCAAAACAAUGUUCACAACAUUUGAAAGCGAAUAAGAGAUUCCAAUUGUCUUCUCCUAAGCCAGACAUUAAAGAGAUUUGAAAAAUGCACAAAGCCACUUAUCUCCCUAAAUUUAGAAAUUGAAUCAUUUUUCAAAAAAUGAGUUUAUUUUAAAAUGGAUUAAUAUACAAAUGUUUAAAAAUUUCCAGCUUUAAUUUCUAAUAUAUUAAAUAUUGAUAAAUAUAAUAAACAAAAUUUUAGGAGGCUGUUGGUUUGGACUGAGCUCCUGUACUAUGCCCAAGAAGAACCAAAGGAAAAUGGAGUCACUCAUGCUAAAAUUUAUAUCACCAAGCCAAAACUAAGGCGUUUGUCUGACCUUCUGAGAAAGAAGUGCCAAAUCCCCAAACAGACCAAUUUUAGGCAGCAUUUUAAGUGCCAAAUCCCCAAACAGACCAAUUUUAGGCAGCAGUUUAAGGAAGUCCCCUCUGUUUUAACUUUCACCAGGAAGGUAACUUUGAAUGGACCAAUCCAAUUUUUGUUUUUCUUUUCUGCUUUCUUCAGCCCUUUUCUGUAUAUAAAGCCAAUCUUCUCUAUUCAGCUCAUCAGUGCAAUGAAAAUCAAAAGGAGAUCAGUAUAGUAGAAGGAAGGGACCAAGGGGAGGGAAGAGGGGAGGGAAAAGGGAAAUACUGGAAUGGUAUUAUUCUGUUGUUAUAUUGUGUGCAUGUAUGAAUAUGUAACAAUGAAUCCCACCAUUAUGUACAACUAUAGUGUAUGAAUAAAAAUAUGGAAAAAAG
rnacentral:lncRNA from 1 species